GCUCCGAUGGUGUAGUCAGGCCAAGCAUUCCGGCCUUUCGAGCCGAUGACUCGGGUUCGAAUCCCGGUCGGAGCA
rfam:Ferroplasma sp. Type II genomic scaffold AMDT4_FER2S00017, whole genome shotgun sequence.